UACGGAGGAUCCGAGCGUUAUCCGGAUUUAUUGGGUUUAAAGGGAGCGUAGGCGGGUUGUUAAGUCAGUUGUGAAAGUUUGCGGCUCAACCGUAAAAUUGCAGUUGAUACUGGCAUCCUUGAGUACAGUAGAGGUAGGCGGAAUUCGUGGUGUAGCGGUGAAAUGCGUAGAUAUCAGGAGGAACACCAGUGGCGAAGGCGGCCUACUGGACGGUGACUGACGCUGAGGCUCGAAAGCGUGGGGAGCAAACAGG
rnacentral:rRNA from 1 species